rnacentral:rRNA from 1 species
ACGGAAGGCAGCAGUGGGGAAUAUUGCACAAUGGGGGAAACCCUGAUGCAGCGACGCCGCGUGAGUGAAGAAGUAUUUCGGUAUGUAAAGCUCUAUCAGCAGGGAAGAAAAUGACGGUACCUGACUAGGAAGCCCCGGCUAACUACGUGCCAGCAGCCGCGGUAAUACGUAGGGGGCAAGCGUUAUCCGGAUUUACUGGGUGUAAAGGGAGCGUAGACGGCGAUGCAAGUCUGAUGUGAAAGCCCGGGGCUCAACCCCGGCACUGCAUUAGAAACUGUGUUGCUAGAGUGCAGGAGAGGUAAGUGGAAUUCCUAGUGUAGCGGUGAAAUGCGUAGAUAUUAGGAGGAACACCAGUGGCGAAGGCGGCUUACUGGACUGUAACUGACGUUGAGGCUCGAAAGCGUGGGGAGCAAACAGGAUUAGAUACCCUGGUA